rnacentral:rRNA from 1 species
CCUACGGGAGGCAGCAGUGAGGAAUCUUGGUCAAUGGGCGGGAGCCUGAACCAGCCAAGUCGCGUGAGGGACUAAGGCCCUACGGGUUGUAAACCUCUUUUGUCGGGGAUCAAUGCCCAGCUCGCGAGCUGGGAGGGAGAGUACCCGGAGAAUAAGCAUCGGCUAACUCCGUGCCAGCAGCCGCGGUAAUACGGAGGAUGCGAGCGUUAUCCGGAUUUAUUGGGUUUAAAGGGUGCGUAGGCGGGUUUUAAGGCCGGCGGUAAAAUUUCGGGGCUCAACCCCGCCGGGCCGUUGAAACUGGGGGCCGUGAGUAGGGGAGAAGUACGCGGAAUGCGUGGUGUAGCGGUGAAAUGCAUAGAUAUCACGCAGAACCCCGAUUGCGAAGGCAGCGUAUCGGCCGGUGACUGACGCUGAGGCACGAAAGCGAGGGUAUCGAACAGGAUUAGAUACCCCAGUAGUC